UACGAAGGGGGGCUAGCGUUGUUCGGAAUUACUGGGCGUAAAGGGCGCGUAGGCGGUUCGUCACGUCGGCUGUGAAAACCCGAGGCUCAACCUCGGGCCUGCAGUCGAUACGGGCGGACUGGAGUUCGGCAGGGGAGACUGGAAUUCCUGGUGUAGCGGUGAAAUGCGCAGAUAUCAGGAGGAACACCGGUGGCGAAGGCGGGUCUCUGGGCCGAUGACUGACGCUGAGGAGCGAAAGCGUGGGGAGCAAACAGG
rnacentral:rRNA from 1 species